AUGGUGAUGAGGCUACCACAUGCACAAUGUCACCUCUUGCUGCUUGAGUAUCUCUCCACUAACAUUGCAAAAAGCACCUUCCUGCGUAAUUCUGGGUUGGUUGUCAAGGUAACCUCAUCCAAAUCGCUUACUAAACAAAAUAUUCCUGCUAGACAGAGUGAUAUGUUUGUGCUCCAGACACAAGUACAAUCCCUAAUGGACGUCAUUUCGAAAACAAGAAUAGUGGUUGACAAAUGUCGUCAAGAUAUGAAUGGUUUUGAAACUAGACUAUCAGACAUCCGCUUCGUUGUUCAAGAGCAAUGGCGGGAAAAAAGGUGA
rnacentral:rRNA from 1 species